UACGAAGGGGGCUAGCGUUGUUCGGAAUUACUGGGCGUAAGGCGCACGUAGGCGGGUUUGGAAGUAGAGGGGGAAAUCCCAGGGCUCAACCCUGGAACUGCCUUCUAGACUGCAAGCCUGGAGGUCAGGAGAGGCGAGUGGAAUACCGAGUGUAGAGGUGAAAUUCGUAGAUAUUCGGUGGAACACCAGUGGCGAAGGCGACUCGCUGGACUGAUACUGACGCUGAGGUGCGAAAGCGUGGGGAGCAAACAGG
rnacentral:rRNA from 1 species